GCGCCCGUAGCUCAGUGGAUAGAGCGGCAGACUUCGGAUCUGUUGGUCGCGGGUUCAAAUCCUGCCGGGCGCGCCA
rnacentral:tRNA from 2 species